CGCAUAGCGACACGGGACAGCCGGCUCGCUGGCCGGCUGCCCGUCCGGUCACGUGCUUGCGUCCCGACACCCACCAUAAAACCUAUGUUCUCUAAAUACACUCACUCACUUCUCCUCUACCGACUGUGACGCCAACACCAUCCGCGGACCCCGGCUCCGACGAGGGCGGCCGAAAUGGCCGGCCCACAAUUGGUGCCAGCGGUGGUGGUUGGUUGUCGGUGGAGGAUUUUUGGCUUCAGACCUUGCGUUUCUGUUACCCAUCUGGGAGUGGCCACUAUCUGACUCCCCGAGCAUCGACUACGGAGAAACGCCGAUACGCAACACGGUCUGCAAAAGCUGGCUGAUCAUAGUCAUGAUGGGAUCGGACGCUCAUCGCCGACCCGUCUGGCUGUCUCAGUCGCUCUGCAUCUGGUCCACGAAUCACACACUGCAACUGCGGACGCCAUCACCGACUGCAACGGCUGCAACUGCAACCAGCAGGUGGCC